UUUUUUUUUAUUUUUUAAUAUUUUUUUUUGGGGGUACAUACGGCUGGUGAGGCUUUGUUGUUCAUAAUAGGAGUCAAGUGAUGCACUCUCUGAUGUGAGCACCUUGUCGCUCAUUAAUGCUUGAAAAGGAGCACUUUCACAAGAAAAUAGCCUUUUGACUGAUUUUGAUCAACAUAAGCAACGUUCUCUUCGUGCAUUCAAGUCUCAAGCGCCAGUCACGCGGCAUCAUGUUAGACUUUGAUGGAUUAUCAUUUUCAAAUGAGGUGGGAUCCGGUCCAGCCCCGCGAAGAGACGAGAGCCGUGGGCCAGCAGGACGUCGCCCUUGGCUUGAUGCAUGCGAUCUGACGUGCACGACAACAGACGAGAUAGAGAGAGUGAAAGCGAGAGCUUGAGUUUUCCUUGGCUGGAAUAAAGGGCUGUGAGUUCUUUUGACCAUGGAAAAGGUGGAAAGCAAAACAAGAGACCCUCAAAUCAGGAAUAAGUUGUUCCAACCCCGGACAGGUCUAGUAGGAGUAACUGUUUCUUCUUUAUCCCUGCUCUAUGGAGGACUCAAGCUCUGCCUUUUAAAGUGUUUAUGGGAGAGGUAAUUAAAAUCAAAAUAAUCGAUGUCACAACUUACAGAAUUGCAUUAAGCUUUGAACCCUUAAAAAAGAGGACGUACUGCAUUAACGGUUCAUCAUACACUAGCACCAUGUGUGCAGGACUUAAUAUGAUGGCUUUGUAACAUAAAAUGGUUAUUAAAUCAUGUUUUCAUAUUAUGGUUGUUAAAUCAUUACAUCAUGUAUAUUACUAGGUUUAUUAUUUCAUAUUGUGUGUUCUUUUAUUUUUGGAAUUCAAAUUUUUGAAUCUCAUUGUUUUCAAGGACUGCAAGCUCUUAAUGUUCUGAAACUAUCAUAAAUGUUUAUU